rnacentral:lncRNA from 1 species
UUUUAGUUGAUUAACAAGUUCUGAAAGAACUUCAUUUUCUGUUGAAAGAGAUUGAGAAGAUUUUCCAAAAGUAGGAAUAAUAUCAUCAUUCUUAAAAAUCGGAGAGGAUGAAGAUGGUUUUGAAAUGUUCUUAUCCUUACUUUUACUAUCUCGAUAUUCUUUAAAAGAAUCUUUUGGAAUAGUAGAAGUUUCAGAUUCAGAAUUUGAUUCAAUACGAUUAAGUUGGGAACAAACGGAUUGAAGAACAAUAUUUGUGAAAUUGUUCUGGGCUUGAAUAUUUUUGAUAUCUUUAGCAACAACUUGAGAUUCAUCAAGUCGUUCUUUAGAAUUUGGAACACGUUUGAGAGGUGAUGCAAGAAUUUCAGUUUUACCAUGGGUAAAUGAAAUUUCUUGUAGAGGAGGAUGAAUUGAUUGGAAAGUGUUUCCGUCAAGAGUUUUCCAUGAUUUUGAAGAUGUUUUUGUAGUGAAAAUUUGGGACUUUUCUGGUUGUUUUCCAAAAACUUUGAUUUGAAUCCAAUCAUAGAAACUUAAUUCUGUAGAAGAUUCAAAAUAAUCUUCCCAAAAUUGUUCUUUUUCUUUUGAAGAAAAUUGAUGUCUUAAAAAUUUUUCGAAAAUUUUUAACAUGAAUAUCUUGAUCUUGUUUAAACUCUUUUCUUCUGUCGAUUUCAGAAGAAAUAAUAUUACAUUGAUGAUUAAAAUCAGAAUUUGAAGGAGGAACCAUAUCAGAAAAAGUAGGAGACUCUGGUUGCUCAGUUUCUUCUUCUUUUUCUUUAGGUUGAUAAAAAGGAUUUGGAAAAAUAGAAGUAAAGUCUACUCCUUUGAAAGAUGAUGAUGUAGAAUUUCUUGAAGGUUGAAAAGAAUUCUUAGUUCUUUCUUCAGAUCUGGAUGAUCUAGAAGAGUUAGAUCUUGGAAUUCUAGAAGAAGAUCCUUGAAAGAUAACUUUAGCUUUUCCAUCGGAAAAAGUUAAAAUUUCAUUAGGAUUGGAGUUUGUUUGAGCUGGAACUGGAGCUUGAAUAUUUUCAAAAUUCCAUUCUAAAUUUCUGGAUUGAAGAUUCCAGGGAAUUCUUUUAGGAAUUUCUACACUUGAAUGAAAAUGAUUGACUUCAACCAAAAGACUUUCUUCUUUUGGAGAAGAUCUAAGAGCAUCGAUAUUGAGUUGAGUAUUCAUGAGUUUGUAAUAAAUCCUGUAAAUAACAGCAAAGGCAUUUGAUCGACUAUCAAACUCAAGAUUUCUAGUCUGAAUAUGAAGAUUUAGAGCAUUUAAAACUGCUCUAUCUGAAAGUUUUAUUGAAAAAUUUGGAUAACAAUUUGAAAAAACUGGACCACUUUCAAGGUUUGAUUCAAGAAGUGAAAGUAGAGAGUUUUUGAAAUUGAGAUGUCUCUUGUCUCUAAGAGUGAUAAGAAUAGGAAUGUCUAAACCAAGUCUAAACAAUGGUUUGACAGCAGUUUGAACAAAACCAACAUGAAGAUAUUUAAAUCUCUUUCUAUGAGAUUCAAUUGAUUCUUUUGAAAAUAAAUUGAUGAAUGCAUUUGAACUAUUAAUUGAA